rnacentral:rRNA from 1 species
GGAGUUUGGGCCGUGUCUCAGUCCCAAUGUGGCCGUCCGCCCUCUCAGGCCGGCUACAGAUCGUCGCUUUGGUAGGCCGUUACCCCGCCGACUACCUAAUCAGACGCAUCCCCAUCCCAUAGCGGUGAACCUUUGUUCCGAAUCAGAUGUCAUCCUCGGAAUACAUAGGGUAUUAAUCCGCAUUUCUACGGGCUAUGCCCUACUAUGGGGAAGGUUGGAUACGCGUUACUCACCCGUGCGCCGGUCGCCAUCUACCAAAGCAAGCUUCGAUAAUGCUGCCCCUCGACUUGCAUGUGUUAAGCCUGUAGCUAGCGUUCAUC